UACAGAGGGUGCUAGCGUUAAUCGGAAUUACUGGGCGUAAAGCGUGUGUAGGUGGUUAGAUAAGUUAGAUGUGAAAUCCCCGGGCUUAACCUGGGGACUGCGUUUAAGACUGUUUAGCUUGAGUACUGUAGAGGAUAGUGGAAUUUCCAGUGUAGCGGUGAAAUGCGUAGAUAUUGGAAGGAACACCAGUGGCGAAGGCGACUAUCUGGACAGAUACUGACACUGAGACACGAAAGCGUGGGGAGCAAACAGG
rnacentral:rRNA from 1 species